CAGUAGCCACGGUAAUACAAAGGGUGCGAGCGUUAAUCGGAUUUACUGGGCGUAAAGCGUGCGUAGGCGGCUUCUUAAGUCGGAUGUGAAAUCCCUGAGCUUAACUUAGGAAUUGCAUUCGAUACUGGGAAGCUAGAGUAUGGGAGAGGAUGGUAGAAUUCCAGGUGUAGCGGUGAAAUGCGUAGAGAUCUGGAGGAAUACCGAUGGCGAAGGCAGCCAUCUGGCCUAAUACUGACGCUGAGGUACGAAAGCAUGGGGAGCAAACAGGAUUAGAUACCCGCGUAGUCCCUGUCUCUUAUAC
rnacentral:rRNA from 1 species